rnacentral:lncRNA from 10 species
GUUUGACUUCCAUUUGUGAAGUUUAAAUGAGAUUCCUUAUGGUUGUUUUUAUGUUAACCCCUAGUAUGUGGCCUGCUGUAAACACCCAGGAUACCCAGGAAAUGGUCAUUGCUGUUUGAUUUUCCUGAUGCCCAGUCUCAAGGGGAAGCUGGGCCAAUGAGUACAGCCACUUGCCAUCAGGCUGUCCCUAUAGGAGUCACUGAAGGGGGCCCAGGGUGUGGUGAGGAGAGCCCCAGACACCAGGAGUAAGAGAAGAUCUAACUUGCCACCAGCUUGCUGGAUGACCACAGAAAAAUCACUUCUUCCUUUGGACCUCAGUUUCCUCCUCUGUGGAGGUCUGGAGCUCUACGAGAUUCAUCACCCAUGUCCUGGGCCUGAGGAGAGGGGACCAGUGAGCAUAUUAAGAGCUGCAUUGGUCAGCUGACUCCACUCUGUGACUGCAUCGCUCAGGGGACUUUUCCAUCUAUUUGUUCCUGCCCCUGGCAAGGCAGCAGGUGGCCAUUUGGAAGAAUGGCACAGGCCAUGGUUUUAAUCUCCUCUGCUCUUCUUCAGCGUUUUGUUUUUCUGAACCCACAUCUUCCUCCUACCCUGACUUUCUUGCUUCUCUCUAAGCCACUUCUGUCUUUCGCCCCCUGCCCUUGUUUUUCCCUUGUCACCUCCUGUAGAUUCAGGACAUUCUGAAGGUGCGGGUGUCCAACCUUAACCACUCCAAUGGGGUAGUGCUCCCCCAUUGGACAAGUGGAAGGUGAGGCAGUGCCAAGACCCCUCUCUGGCUGCUGUCUCCAGCUGUGCAUGGCCCUGAGGCUUCUCUGGUUUGGGGGAUACUUGGCCUCUGCCUUGUUUUAUGUUGCUGCCAUUAACCUUCAGCCUGUUUCUGUCUGCUUCUUCACCUGCUUGAUUGAUUGGGUUUUUUCCUUCCCCGCAUCUUUUAUCAUCUUGGAAAUGUUGAGACCUUAAAGUUUAAAAGUAAUUUGGGAAUAACAGACAGUGCAGGCAUGUGGGAUUUGGGGCUUUUUUUUUUUUUUUUUUUUUUUUUUGAGACAGAGUCUCACUCUGUCACCCAGACUGAAGUGCAGUGGUGUGAUCUCGGCUCACUACAACCUCUGCCUCCCAGGUUCAAGUGAUUCUCUUGCCUUAGCCUCCUGAGUAGCUGGGAUUACAGGCACCUGCCACCAUGCCCAGCUAAUCUUUGUAUUUUUAGAAGAGACGGGGUUUUACCACGUCGGCCAGCCUGGUGUUGAACUCCUGACCUCAAGUGAUCCACCCACCUCAGCCUCCUAAAGUGCUGGGAUUACAAGCAUGAGCCACCAUGCCCGGCCCUUGCUGUUUUUAUACUUUCUCUAUAUCCAUAACUGUUUCCUAUGUAAUCUUUUUUUGAAUUUCUCAUUUUUAUAACUCCUGCAUCAUCUGUUACCCUGAAGGAUCUGGAGGUAAGAGGCCCUGGGCCAAGGUGCAGUGACCCUGCAGGCCAGCCCUCCAACCUCCUUUCACAGCAGGGGCUGGGUGCCCCUCUGCCAGCUGAAACAGCCCGACAGCCCACACACACCCCAGCCCUAAUGAUUGUUCUCUCCACCUCUCCCCACAAUCCUCCUCCAACUCCUCCUCUCUGCAUGCGCCUCAGAGUCGGUACCAAGAACUGGAAGUAGCCCUGAACUCAAGCUCCGCAAUAAUCAAUCAACUAAAUGAAAACAUAGAAUCAUUGGUAAGAGUCCAGUGGGGUCCCGUGAUUCCACGCUGCCA